CUUUUCUCUCAAUUUAAUUUUGUCUUUAGCUCCUGCGCACAAGGAUCUACAGUACCUGGAGACUGAAGCCUGAGAUGGAGCUGCUUGGCGGGUGGGCGGGUGGUACAGCGUCUCCCCAGCACCUCCGCAGGGUGGUCUGCGCGGAGUGGUGGAGGGCACGGCGCUAAACUGCACCCACUCCAGGUCGGCGGUACUCUCCAGGGUCAGAGAAGACUUGCGAAGUGGAAGCUCGCACAGCUGGCACCCAGAAACUGUAGGUCGCAGGGUUUUUUGUUUUGUUUUGUUUUUUUAAUUUAUUAUCAGUGUAGAGCGCAUGCUAUGGCCAGGGUGUUGCGGCCAGAGGACAACUUUGUAUAAGUUGGAUUUGUGUACGUGGAUUUCGGGAGAGGACUCAGCUGAUUAGGCUUCCUUUAUCCGCUAACCGACCCCCCACCUCCACAGGGUUUCUCGGUAUAUCCCUAGCUGUCCUGGAACUCACUCUGUAGACCAAGCUGGGCUCUGAACUCAGAGAUCCACCUGCCUCUGCCACCCGAGUAUUGGGAUUAAAGUCUUUGCCACCACCACCCAGUGCUGAGCCCUCUCUUCUGCACCUACUAGUGUUUUUAAUAUUGUGACUGUUGAUUGCAGAAGGCUAGGAGCGAAGAAACCUACUGACUCCAAGAAGGCCUCAACAGCCAGAGGACUUCAAGGGGGAACUCGG
rnacentral:lncRNA from 1 species